rnacentral:rRNA from 1 species
AUCGAACGCUGGCGGCAGGCCUAACACAUGCAAGUCGAACGGAGUGGCGGACGGGUGAGUAAUGUAUGGGAAACUGCCUGAUGGAGGGGGAUAACUACUGGAAAAGGUAGCUAAUACCGCAUACUAUCAGAUGAGCCUCGGUCGGAUUAGCUAGUUGGUGGGUUAAAGGCAUACCAAGGCGACGACCCGUAACUGGUCUGAGAGGAUGAUCAGCCACAUUGGAACUGAGACACGGUCCAGACUCCUACGGGAGGCAGCAGUGGGGAAUAUUGGACAAUGGGCGAAAUCCUGAUCCAGCCAUGCCGCGUGUGUGAAGAAGGUCUUCGGAUUGUAAAGCACUUUAAGUUGGGAGACGUUACCAACAGAAUAAGCGCCGGCUAACUUCGUGCCAGCAGCCGCGGUAAUAC